rnacentral:ncRNA from 1 species
ACAAGGGGCUAAAUGUGCUCCCGAAAGGAAUGCGCAAGUCUUCAGUGGCACCGAAGGCAACACUGUCAAAUUGCGGGGAAGCCCUAAAGCUUUGUCUACCAAGCAGGGAUGGAAACAUUUCUGUGGCCAGGGUAAUGACCUCGGGUAUGGUAAAACGGCAAAGAUAGAACAAUGGGUAAUCCGCAGCCAAGUCCUAAACUUGCACCCAGCUGGGGCAAGCAUGGAUGCAGUUCACAGACUAAAUGGCAGUGGCUCUGCGAUAGAGAUUAUUGCGGGGCUUAAGAUAUAGUCGGACCCACCGCGAGAGCGGUUC